CAUAAGUAACCAGAUGCUCCGCAGGGCGUAGCUUUAUACGACCGCAGAGGUUGAACCCUGAACGGUUGGGGCAAGUAUGGACACAACAUUCAAGCUGGAUUCAGCUCUAAAUUUGGAUUGUGAUUAAAUAGUUGACACAGCAUAGGUUUCUGACACAGAAUGAAUGUGUUUCUAAUGAACUUAAAAUUUUUGUUUUCUCUUAGAGCAAUUCACUAUGCUGUUGAAUAUUAAUCCUCUCAAAAAAAUAUUUGAAGAAAUUUUCUUUUUUAUUUAUG
rnacentral:lncRNA from 1 species